ensembl:lncRNA
GGGGAGAGAAGAGAGGAGUGACUAGUGGGGAGAGAAGAGAGGAGUGACUAGUGGGGGAGAAGAGAGGAGUGACUAGUGGGGGGAGAAGAGAGGACUGACUAGUGGGGAGAGAAGAGAGGACUGACUAGGGGGGAGAAGAGAGGAGUGACUAGUGGGGGGGUGGGAAGAGGAGUGACUAGUGGGGGAGAAGAGAGGAGUGACUAGUGGGGGGAGAGAAGAGAGGAGUGACUAGUGGGGGAGAGAAGAGAGGAGUGACUAGUGGGGAGAAGAAGAGGAGUGACUAGUGGGGGAGAAGAGAGGACUGACUAGUGAGGGAGAAGAGCGGAGUGACUAGUGGGGGGGAGGGGGAGAAGAAGAGAACCCUCUGCCAGUGUUUAACUAAACCCUCUGCCAGUGUUUAACUAAACCCUCUGCCAGUGUUUUACUAAACCCUCUGCCAGUGUUUAACUAAACCCUCUGCCAGUGUUUUACUAAACCAUCUGCCAGUGUUUAACUAAACCCUCUGCCAGUGUUUUACUAAACCAUCUGCCAGUGUUUAACUAAACCCUCUGCCAGUGUUUUACUAAACCCUCUGCCAGUGUUUUACUAAACCCUCUGCCAGUGUUUUACUAAACCAUCUGCCAGUGUUUAACUAAACCCUCUGCCAGUGUUUUACUAAACCCUCUGCCAGUGUUUUACUAAACCCUCUGCCAGUGUUUAACUAAACCCUCUGCCAGUGUUUAACUAAACCCUCUGCCAGUGCCUGUCAUUUCCAAAGUGCCUCUUCCAUAGUCAAAACCCCACAGCAGCAGCCUUAUUAAUAACCCAGCCAUUGAGCUGUUCAGAACUCAAGCCUCCUCCCUCAGCUUAAGGACAUGACUUCAGACUGGCUUAUACUGUUUUAAGGAGUGACUGUUGUAAAGUUCCACACACACACAAACACCCACGUAGAGUUAACAUGCAUGUACAUACACAAGCACACGAACGUGCACACACACACACACACACACACACACACACUGACGCUGUUCUGGAAACGUCUUUCCAUAUGAUAUACGACCAUCAACCAGAGCACAUCACGUCACAUCAUAAAGAAUAAAUAGUAGAAGUGGUCCUAUUGUGCCAAACAUAACAUCGACCAGGGUGGGUUUCACUAUUCCACAGUAAUGUAUCAGUGAUGUUUUCCUGUUAUUGAAUUCCUUUCUUGAUGCAUAUCCUCCGAGUGCUGCUGAGCGGGAAUCAUUGUUGAUACCCUCUCGGACACUCUCUCUCUGCGCUAACUGUGUGUGUAACGACAGGCGGGACGUGCACACCAGGACCAGUCCUCUUCCUGUCCCUGUACCCUCUGGGGGGGGUCUGCUUGAUGACAUCACUGCUACUCCCCUCUCCUACCUCUUCUCCUCCUCUCUUUCCUCCCCUUCAUCCUCCUGCUUCUUUUGUCCUUCUCUUCCUCUUCCUCCUCCUCUCUUAUUCCUCUCCUUCUCAUCCUUCUCCGUUAUCCCUCUUCUCCUCCUCCUACCUCUUCUCUCUCCUCUCCCCUCCUCCUCCUCCUCUCUUAUUCCUCUCCCUCUCCUCCUUCUCUGUUAUCCCUCUUCUCGUC